rnacentral:lncRNA from 7 species
GAAGAAAGGCUUUCCAUAUAAUGACAAACUCACUAAAUCAACUGGUCUGUUUUCCAAUUCCUUUCCAUUUCCUUUCAUUACCAUGAAGGAUUCAAGUCAUCUUGUUUCCCUGCUGCUCUUUCCUGUACUGUUGUUUUCAGAGGGAGAUCUUGCACUGAAACUUAGGAAACAGACUAAAUAAGGUCAAGGACAUUUCUGGAGCUGGUAUAGAAAAAGGAGAGGGCAAGAACUCUGAAUGAAAAGAGGAAAUAAAGAAAAUUCUGGAGGAUGGAAAACAUCAAGGAUAAACAACCUACAGGCUUUCAGAACUGACCCAGUUGAUGAAAGAAGCAGCAACUAUCAUCAAUCAUGCUGUUACAAAGUCAAGUGUGGUGAAGUAGGAGCCUUCUCAGCAUCAUAUGGCCGCUGCAUCAAAAGCUACAAUACACAUGUUCACGGACACAAGUAAUUCAUCAUUUACAAUAGCAACGGUACCUGUGAUAUAGGCAGAUGAAUAAAACAAGAAUCUGCAAUAUAUGGAUUGAAUAUACAACAGUAGAUAUGUGUACUUUUAAAUGGGAAAUAUGUCAAUUCCCACUUGUAUCUUUCUUGGUAGUAAGACUUUCUAGUUUGUGGUUAUACUUGCUACAGUAAAAAUAAUAUCCAAGAGGUCACCAGUUAGUGAAAAAUUUAACAUAAUACCGUAUAAAUUACAGUCAUAUAUCAUGAUUUCCCUAAAUGUUUACAGAAUGCCAAUGAUACUUUCAAGAGAAGUAUUAUCUGUGGCAGUAAAAUUCUAAAAGAAUACCUUAAAUUACCAAUUAUAUCACAUUUUAGUUCAUUUCUCUGGAGUUUAAACAUUUUUAUUGUGAGGGUUUUUAAUAGUAUAGUCUACUUAAUUAUUUUUCCUCUUUGUCUGAUAGUUAAGAAAAAUCAUACACAAAUGUUUCAUGCCCAUUCUCCAUUGAUUUUGGGAAAGUGUAGUCUGUAUAAGAGAUUUUGAAUUAUAAUCUAGUAUAUUUACCCACAUGAAGACUAAAGUUAUUCAAUGCAUGCUCUUAUGCAAUCAUGAAACAAUCAGGUUGUUUUCUCAGGUUUUUAGUAGCUGUCUCCAAUAGAAAGUUGAAAACAGUUCUUCAGAGAAACUAGAGAAAAUGAAGGAUCUGGAUAUGGAGCAAAGCCAAAAGACAUCUGAAAAACAGACAUGCUGUUUAAUUAAAUAUUUUAGGUCGUAACUUCUGGCAGACAGCUGUGUGUUGCUUUGUAACCAGCUGAUUACAGCUUUAUUUGAGUGAACCGCUCUGCAAUGAAAUAAGAGAUUAAAUGGAGUUUGAAAAAACAUACACACACACAUGAAAAAAAAAAAUGAAAAAGAGGGAAAAAGUAAUGUAGCAACAUUUGUGCAGCAACCAGAAAUAUUGAUAAUUCCUCUGUUCAUUAUAAAUGGCUAAAAGAAGGUAUGUUUGUUUUGUAGAUUUUUAAUAUGUUGAUUUGUUUUCUGUUUCCACAGAGUUAAAUUUUUUACUGAAAUUAUUCCUAGCCAGAAAUACUCUGCUUUAUUUAGUGGGAAAGGUACACAUUUUUGAUUUAAUUUCCUAGAUAGCUGAAGAAGGGGACAAAGAUGAAAAUAAAAAUAGGGAAAUAUAUACAUCGUAACUUAUAACACAAGCAGGAAAAGAAGAAUUGAAUGCGCAAAAUGUUCUUUCUCAUUCUCUUGAAUAUUUUCUGCCAAAUUCCUUUUAAAAAUGUGAAGUGAAAUUGUUUUCCUUUCCUUUUUCUGUUAAAAGCUGCAGUUGUAAUCCUAUUUACAUGACAAAGUGAAUAUUUUCUUUUUGUUGUCGUCUUUGUGUCCAUUCAUUUUGUUAAAGUAGAUAGAGGAGUCUAAGGGCAUACCUAUAGACAUAUAAAUAAAACUCUAACCCUGCUUUAAUG